UUAAAUACGAAAGAAUCAAACACAACAUU
rnacentral:piRNA from 1 species